GCCGCUGUAGCCCAGUUGGUAGAGGCGUCGCCAGUACAGAUGGCGAUGGCGCAGUGGCUCUAGUUCAAAUCCAGCCUGCGGUG